rnacentral:lncRNA from 1 species
AGUUAAAAUUCCAUCUAACUUCAUGGCUUCAGUUAACAUCUGUAUGCAAAAAUCUCCCAAAUUUCUUUCUUGAGCUCUGAUAUCUUUUCUGAGCUCUAUAUCCACACAAUCAACUACCCAACCGAUUUUCAACUUGGGUAUCUCAUACAGAUAACUCAAACUCAAUAUAUUCAAAACCGAGUUCAUGAUCACCUACCCCUACACGUCCCCGCCCAUGCUUCAUCCCUUUUCCAGGGCUACCUAUUUAAGAAAAUAGCCAUUCACUUCUGGAACUACAGGUGCCCGCCACCACAGCUGGCUAAUUUUUUGUGUUUUUCAUAGAGACGGGGUUUCACUGUGUUAGCCAGGAUGGCCUCGAUCUCCUGACCUCGUGAUUCGCCCACCUCAGCCUCCCAAAGUACUGGGAUUACAGGCGUGAGCCACCACGCCCGGCCUUAGACAUGAUUCUUAACCACCCUUUGCCUCAGUUUCCUCAUCUGAAAAAUGGGGGUAAUAAUAGCACCAACUACAUAUGGUUGUGGUAAGGAUUAAGUAAAUUAACAUAUAAAAAAUUGCUCCAAGCAAUGUUUGGUACAAAGAAAAUGUGGUAUUAAGUGUCUUAUGUUGUUGUUGCUGUUAUUAUUAUAAAUCAACUCAAUGCUCCCAGUACAGAAGACAGUAGUGUUAUUUAUUCAUGC